rnacentral:rRNA from 1 species
GAUGAACGCUGGCGGCGUGCUUAACACAUGCAAGUCGAACGAAAAGACGAGGAGUUUGUGGGGUGGACGAGUGGGGAACGGGGGAGUAAAACGUGAGUAAAAUGUACUUAAAUGUGGGAUAACUUCAGGAAAAAGGGGCGAAAAUCGGAGAGGAGCUACUGAAGCACAGGGGGGGUUGGAGAGUGUCGGCGGUGUGGGAUGGACUCGAGGGUUAUCAGCUGGUUGGGGGGGUAGGGGCUUACCAAGGCUUUGAAGGGUAGGCCGCAUGGGAGCGUGACCGGCCACAUUGGUACUGAGAUACGGCCCAGUAUCCUAUGGGCGGCAGUAGUGGAGAAUAUUGCACAAUGGGGGGAAGCCUGAUGUAGCAACGCCGCGUGCGUAAUGACGGCUUUCGGGUUGUAAACCGCUUUCGACUGUGCCGUAGCGUGCUUGACGGUAAUGGGUCAAGAAGCACCGGCUAACUACGUG